rnacentral:rRNA from 1 species
GAUCCUGCUCAGGAUGAACGCUAGCGAUAGGCUUAACACAUGCAAGUCGAGGGGCAGCAUGGUCUUAGCUUGCUAAGACUGAUGGCGACCGGCGCACGGGUGCGUAACGCGUAUGCAACUUGCCUCACAGAGGGGGAUAACCCGUCGAAAGACGGACUAAUACCGCGUACACUUGGGAUAGGGCAUCCUAUCCCAAGGAAAUGAAAUUCGCUGUGAGAUAGGCAUGCG